rnacentral:tRNA from 1 species
GAGGCUAUAGCUCAGCAGUAGAGCACGUGCUUAGCACUCACGAGGUCCUGGGUUCAAUUCCCAAUGCGUCC